GAUGAACGCUGGCGGCGUGCCUAAUACAUGCAAGUCGAGCGAACAGACGCUGAUCUUGCUCCUCUGUCGUUAGCGGCGGACGUGUGUGUAACACGUGUAUAACCUCCCUAUAAUACUGGUAUAACUUCGAGACACCGGCUCUAAUCCCGUAUAAUCUCUUGCUCCGCAUUGUUCAAUGGUGAAUUACGGUUUUUCUGUCUCUUCUCGCUGGUUCCGCGCCGCUUUGGCUAGUUGUUAAGUUCACGGCUUUCCAAGGCAACGAUGCGUAGACGACCUGAGAGGGGGAUAGGCCACACUAGAAGGGAGACAGGGACAAGACUACUAAGAGAGGCAGCAGUAGGGAAUGGUACGCAAUGGGCGAAAGCAUGACGGAGCAACGCCGCGUGAGUGAUGAAAGUCUUCGGAGCGUAAAAAUCGGUUAUGAGGGAAGAACAAAUGUGUAAGGAAAUAUGGACGUAGUGACGGUAAUUAGUCAGAAAGCAACGGCUAACUACGUG
rnacentral:rRNA from 1 species